AACGAACGCUGGCGGCAUGCCUAACACAUGCCAGUCGAACGAGACCUUCGGGUCUAGUGGCGCACGGGUGUGUAACGCGUGGGAAUCUGCCCUUGGGUUCGGAAUAACAGUUGGAAACGACUGCUAAUACCGGAUGAUGACGUAAGUCCAAAGAUUUAUCGCCCAGGGAUGAGCCCGCGUAGGAUUAGCUAGUUGGUGGGGUAAAGGCCUACCAAGGCGACGAUCCUUAGCUGGUCUGAGAGGAUGAUCAGCCACACUGGGACUGAGACACGGCCCAGACUCCUACGGGAGGCAGCAGUGGGGAAUAUUGGACAAUGGGCGAAAGCCUGAUCCAGCAAUGCCGCGUGAGUGAUGAAGGCCUUAGGGUUGUAAAACUCUUUUACCCGGGAUGAUAAUGACAGUACCGGGAGAAUAAGCCCCGGCUAACUCCGUG
rnacentral:rRNA from 1 species